AUGGCCCUGCCGUGCCCACGGGACACCUGCCCAGGUGGCAUUUGUCACCACCACAGGGAGGGGACGACCACGUCCUUAUCCCGAGGGAUGGGCUCUCGAUUCUGGCUUCCCAGAGCCCCUCUGAGCUCAGUGUCCCUGCACUGCUCCCACAGGGAACGCCCAGCAAACCCCUCCCGUUUUGGGGAGGUUUUGGGGACCUCUGCUCCUGUCCCAGCCACAUCCGAGCCACCAGAGCAAGCACAGGAGCCAUUCCCAACCUCGUCCCCCCGGACACGAGCUGACGGCACCACAGGGAUCAGCUCCACAUGGAUGAGGCUGGAGCAGCUGCAGGAACUCCUGGCUGUCCCUGCCCGGCAGCUCCAGAGCUUUUCCAUCGCUGCUCCGUUCAACCCCGGCAUCCGGGAGCCCCCCAGGAUCUGCCGGGCUCGAUCCCAUUCCUGCUUUUCCCCAGGAUCUGCCAGGCUCGACCCCAUUCGCGCAUCCCCCCAGGAGAAGCCGGGAGAGGCGGGGGUCCCGGACACAAUCCCGGUAGGACGGGAGCAGCUGGAAGGACGCUCAGGGCAGGAUCCGGCCCUGCGCAGGGACCAGGCCGACUUUCCAAGAAAUGCGGCUGCUGCCCAUUCCCAGGGAAAUUCCAGCGGCUCCGGAGCUGCGGCGGUGGGCGAGGCGGCAGCUCCAUCUAGUGGGGCCGAUCCCACGGAUCCUGCCCGGAUCCCGCAGCUCCCGCAUCCCACCCGCGCCGGGGCAGGGAUUCCCGGGGCAUCCAUGGGCAGGAACACGGGCAGGGAACGGCGCGGCUGCCCAGAGCCCCACGGCCCCACACCAGCACCCACUGGGAGCGGGCUCAGCGGAUUCUCCGAGCCCUGGGAGCAGUGGGGAUCAAUCCAUGGGGCAAACAACCCCUGGGAACAUCGGGAAUCAACCCAUGGGGCAGCCAUUCCCCCGGGAACAUCGGGAAUCAACCCAUGGGGCAAACAACCCUCUGGGAGCAUCGGGAAUCAAUCCAUGGGACAACCAAACCCCUGGAAGCAUCGGGAAUCAACCCAUGGGGCAGCCAUUCCCCUGGGAACAUCGGGAAUCAAUCCAUGGUGCAGCCAUUCCUCUGGGAGCAUCGGGAAUCAGUGGAGAUGCGAGGCCACCCCUGUGACCCCAGAGGACCGGAGCACGGUGCCAGGACACCCCGGCCCAUUCCCACAGACCACAGCCCCUCUCUUGGGGCUCCUUCCCUUCCCCUGGCACCUCUUCCCACUCCAGCCCUGCCGGCGAUCCUGGAGUGCAGCUGGGUGGUUUUGCACUGGGAUCCAGCUGUGGGAAACCUCUGGGGUUUGUCCAAACCCAUGGAGAGGCCGGAUCGGGAGCUGGGCACGCUGUCCUCUGCCCCCAGUUCCCAAAUGUCCCAUUCCCAGCCCUGCUCACCUUCGCCACGAACUGUUUGUCCUUCUGAUCCAGGUUUGCCGUGGGGGCCACAUAAUCCCUCCAGAUCCUCAGCUUGUGCUCCUUGGCAAACCUGGGGGGUGGGGACAGUGGGACACCGGGGCUGGGACACCUGGACGGGCUGGGGGUGACAUUCCCAGCAAAGCCCCAGGGAGAUCCCAUCAAUCCCACCCAGGAUGA
rnacentral:lncRNA from 13 species